GAUGAACGCUGGCGGCGUGCCUAAUACAUGCAAGUCGAGCGAACAGACGAGGAGCUUGCUCCUCUGACGUUACCGGCGGACGGGUGAGUAACACGUGGAUGACCUACCUCUAAGACUGGGAUAUCUUCGGGAAACCGGAGCUAAUACCGGAUACUAUAUUGAACCGCAUGGUUCAAUAGUGAAUGACGGUUUUGCUGUCACUUCUAGAUGGCUCCGCGCCGCAUUAGCUAGUUGGUAAGGUAACGGCUUACCAAGGCAACGAUGCGUAGCCGACCUGAGAGGGGGAGCGGCCACACUGGAACUGAAACACGGACCAGAGUCCUACGGGAGGCAGCAGUAGGGAAUGUUCCGCAAUGGGCGAAAGCCUGACGGAGCAACGCCGCGUGAGUGAAGAAGGGCUUCGGAUCGGAAAACUCUGUUAGUAGGGAAGAACAAAUGUGUAAGUAACGAUGCACGUCUUGACGGUACCUAAUCAGAAAGCCACGGCUAACUACGUG
rnacentral:rRNA from 1 species